GGUGAGGCUGCCUGAGGCUCAUUCGGCAAGUGCAGAAAGUGUCCACGCUCUUCCCAAUCAUGUCUGAACCAAUCUGAGUCCUUGUGACGGGAGCAGCUGGUCAAAUUGCAUAUUCACUGCUAUACAGUAUUGGAAAUGGAUCUGUCUUCGGUAAAGACCAGCCUAUCAUUCUCGUGUUGUUGGAUAUCACUCCCGUGAUGGGUGUCCUGGAUGGUGUCCUGAUGGAGCUGCAAGACUGUGCCCUUCCCCUCCUGAAAGAUGUCAUCACAACAGAUAAAGAGAUUGCCUUCAAAGACCUGGAUGUGGCCAUUCUUGUGGGCUCCAUGCCAAGAAGGGAUGGCAUGGAGAGGAAAGAUUUACUCAAAGCAAGUGUGAAAAUCUUCAAAUGCCAGGGUGCAGCCUUGGACAAAUACGCCAAGAAGUCAGUUAAGGUUAUUGUGGUGGGAAACCCAACCAAUACCAACUGCCUGACUGCCUCCAAGACGGCACCAUCCAUCCCCAAGAAGAACUUCAGUUGCUUGACUCGUUUGGAUCACAACUGAGCUAAAGCUCAGAUUGCUCUUAAACUUGGAGUGAAUUCUGAUGAUGUAAAGAAUGUCAUCAUCUGAGGAAACCAUUCCUCAACUCAGUAUCCAGAUGUCAACCAUGCCAAAGUGAAACUGCAAGGAAAGGAAGUUGGUGUUUAUGAAGCUCUGAAAGAUGACAGCUGGCUCAAGGGAGAAUUCAUCACAACUGUGCAGCAGCGCGGUGCUGCCGUCAUCAAGGCACGAAAACUGUCCAGUGCAAUGUCGGCCACAAAAGCCAUCUGUGACCACGUCAGAGACAUCUGGUUUGGAACCCCAGAGGGAGAGUUUGUGUCCACGGGCAUUAUCUUGGAUGGCAACUCCUAUGGUAUUCCUGAUGAUCUGCUUUACUCGUUCCCUGUUACAAUCAAGGAUAAGACCUGGAAAGUUGUUGAAGGUCUCCCUAUUAAUGAUUUCUCACGUGAAAAGAUGGAUCUUACUGCAAAGGAACUAGCAGAAGAGAAAGAAACUGCAUUAGAAUUUCUUGCCUCUGCCUGACUAGACAAUCAUUUCGAUGUUACUAAAUGCCCUAAAGCUGAAGAAUC